rnacentral:tRNA from 1 species
AUCUAGAUAGUUAAAUAAUAAUGUUAAUUUGUGGAAUUAGAGUUAUCAGGUUGAUUCUAGGUG